rnacentral:rRNA from 1 species
CUACGGGAGGCAGCAGUGGGGAAUAUUGGACAAUGGGGGCAACCCUGAUCCAGCAAUGCCGCGUGUGUGAAGAAGGUCUUCGGAUUGUAAAGCACUUUCACUAGGGAAGAUGAUGACGGUACCUAGAGAAGAAGCCCCGGCUAACUUCGUGCCAGCAGCCGCGGUAAUACGAAGGGGGCUAGCGUUGCUCGGAAUGACUGGGCGUAAAGGGCGCGUAGGCUGUUUGUACAGUCAGAUGUGAAAUCCCCGGGCUUAACCUGGGAACUGCAUUUGAUACGUGCAGACUAGAGUCCGAGAGAGGGUUGUGGAAUUCCCAGUGUAGAGGUGAAAUUCGUAGAUAUUGGGAAGAACACCGGUUGCGAAGGCGGCAACCUGGCUCGGAACUGACGCUGANGCGCGAAAGCGUGGGGAGCGAACAGGAUUAGAUACCCUGGUAGUCCACGCUGUAAACGAUGUGUGCUGGAUGUUGGGUGAUUUUAUCAUUCAGUGUCGGAGCUAACGCGUUAAGCACACCGCCUGGGGAGUACNGCCGCAAGGUUGAAACUCAAAGGAAUUGACNGGGGGCCGCACAANCGGUG